rnacentral:rRNA from 1 species
CCUACGGGAGGCAGCAGUGAGGAAUAUUGGUCAAUGGACGAGAGUCUGAACCAGCCAAGUAGCGUGAAGGAUGACUGCCCUAUGGGUUGUAAACUUCUUUUAUAUGGGAAUAAAACGCUCCACGUGUGCGAUUUUGCAUGUACUAUAUGAAUAAGGAUCGGCUAACUCCGUGCCAGCAGCCGCGGUAAUACGGAGGAUCCGAGCGUUAUCCGGAUUUAUUGGGUUUAAAGGGGGCGUAGGUGGAUUGUUAAGUCAGGUGUGAAAGGUUGGGGCUCAACCGUAAAAUUGCAGUUGAAACUGGCAGUCUUGAGUACAGUAGAGGUGGGCGGAAUUCGUGGUGUAGCGGUGAAAUGCUUAGAUAUCACGAAGAACUCCGAUUGCGAAGGCAGUUCACUAGACUGUAACUGACACUGAGGCUCGAAAGUGUGGGUAUCAAACAGGAUUAGAUACCCUGGUAGUC